UUCAAGAUAGCUCAGUUGAUAGAGCAUGAGACUCUUAAUCUCAGGGUUGUGGGUUUGAGCACCACAUGGGGCAAAG